GAUGAAGAACGCAGCGAAAUGCGAUACUUGGUGUGAAUUGCAGAAUCCCGUGAACCAUCGAGUCUUUGAACGCAAGUUGCGCCCGAAGCCACUAGGCCGAGGGCACGCCUGCCUGGGCGUCACACGCCGUUGCCCCCCCAUCUACUCCUUCGGGAUUGCGGGGGGGCGGAUGAUGGCCUCCUGUGCGCCUAGCCGCGCGGUUGGCAUAAAUACCAAGUCCUCGGCGACGCACGCCACGACAAUCGGUGGUUGCGAAACCUCGGUUGCCCGUCGUGUGCGUUCGUCGCGCAUCNNGGGCUCGAAAAAAUGCUCGGCUCCGGCUGGGCUUUCAACGCGACCCCAGGUCAGGCGGGGUUACCCGCUGAAUUUAAGCAUAUCAAUAAGCGGAGGA
rnacentral:misc_RNA from 1 species